AGGGUUUGAUCCUGGCUCAGAACGAACGCUGGCGGCGUGGCUAACCCAUGCAAGUCGAGCGCGAACGUUUCCUUCGGGAGAUUAUUAGCGCGGCGGAAGGGUGAGUAAUGACUGGGUAACGUACCCCAAGCUUGAGGAUAGACCACCGAAAGGUGGCGUAAUACUCGAUAACACCACAUGAAGGCAUCUUCGAGUGGUCAAAGGCGGGGACUCCUUCGGGAGCCUGCUGGCUCGGGAGCGGCCCAUUUUCCAUCAGCUUGUUGGUAGGGUAAUGGCCUACCAAGGCAACGACGGAUAGCCGGACUGAGAGGUCGACCGGCCACAUUGGGACUGAGACACUGCCCAGACUCCUACGGGAGGCUGCAGGGACGAAUACUUCGCAAUGGGCGAAAGCCUGACGAAGCGACGCCGCGUGCGGGAAGAAGCUCUUCGGGGUGUAAACCGCUGUCAGGGACUACCAAGCAAAUGCGCCUAAUAUGCGCACGCGUUGAGGAAUCCCAAAGGAAGCCACGGCUAACUCCGUGCCAGCAGCCGCGGUAACACGGAGGUGGCAAGCGUUGUUCGGAAUCACUGGGCUUAAAGAGCACGUAGGCUGUUUGUCAAGCGUCUUGUGAAAUCCCUCGGCUCAACCGAGGAAUUGCUCGGCGAACUGGCAGACUUGAGGCAAGUAGAGGCGCGCGGAACUCUUGGUGGAGCGGUGAAAUGUGUAGAUAUCAAGAGGAACGCCGGUGGCGAAAGCGGCGCGCUGGGCUUGAUCUGACGCUGAGGUGCGAAAGCUAGGGUAGCGAACGGGAUUAGAUACCCCGGUAGUCCUAGCCGUAAACGAUGUCCACUAGGUUGGGGAUUCUUUGACGAAGUCCCAGCCGAAGCAAAAGUGAUAAGUGGACCGCCUGGGGAGUACGGUCGCAAGGCUAAAACUCAAAGGAAUUGACGGGGGCUCACACAAGCGGUGGAGCAUGUUGCUUAAUUCGAUUCAACGCGAAGAACCUUAUCCUGGGCUUGAAACGCAUGGAUACGGCUCCCGAAAGGGAUGUUCGUUGCCCUUCGGGGUGAAACAUGUACAGGUGCUGCAUGGCUGUCGUCAGCUCGUGUCGUGAGAUGUUGGGUUAAGUCCCGUAACGAGCGAAACCCUUGUCGUUAGUUGCCAGCGGGUCAUGCCGGGGACUCUAGCGAGACUGCCGGUGUUAAACCGGAGGAAGGUGGGGAUGACGUCAAGUCCUCAUGGCCUUUAUGCCCAGGGCUGCAAACGUGCUACAAUGGUUGGGACAAAACGACGCAAGACCGCGAGGUGGAGCAAAUCGCCAAACCCAGCCCCGGUUCGGAUUGGAGUCUGCAACUCGACUCCAUGAAGUCGGAAUCGCUAGUAAUCGCGUAUCAGCCACGACGCGGUGAAUGUGUUCCUGAGCCUUGUACACACCGCCCGUCAAGUCAUGGAAGCCGGUAGCACCCGAAGUCGCCUCGCUACAGAGGUGCCGAAGGUGAGAUUGGUGACUGGGACUAAGUCGUAACAAGGUA
rnacentral:rRNA from 1 species